rnacentral:rRNA from 1 species
UACAGAGGGGGCAAGCGUUAUUCGGAAUUAUUGGGCGUAAAGGGCGCGUAGGCGGCUUUGCAAGUGACGGGUGAAAUCCCUCGGCUUAACCGAGGAACUGCCUGUCAAACUGCAUGGCUUGAGACCGGGAGAGGUGAGUGGAAUUCCCAGUGUAGCGGUGAAAUGCGUAGAUAUUGGGAAGAACACCGGUGGCGAAGGCGGCCACCUGGUCCGGACCUGACGCUGAGGCGCGAAAGCGUGGGGAGCAAACAGG